rnacentral:RNase_P_RNA from 1 species
GGAGUAGGGCAAAUGAUCGCUGGUUUAUCCCCUUGCGGGGAAAGACGGGAGGAAAGUCCGGGCUCCACAGGGCAUGGUGCUGGGUAACGCCCAGUCUCGGCGACGAGGAGGAAAGCGCAACAGAAAGCAGACCGCCUCGCCAAUGGCGGGGUAAGGGUGAAACGGUGAGGUAAGAGCUCACCAGUCUCGGUGGCGACAUCGGGAGCUAGGCAAGCCCCACCCGGAGCAAGACCGAAUAGGAGAGCGUUUGAGGGCGGCCCGUCCGAGCUCUCGGGUUGGUUGCUUGAUCCCACUGGUAACAGUGGGGCUAGAGGAAUGAUCAUUGCCUCGUUCUUCCUUCGGGGAGGAUGGGGAACAGAACCCGGCUUAUGACCUGCUCCAAAU